rnacentral:lncRNA from 1 species
GUAAAAUGUGCUCAUCUACUUCAGAACCAGCUUUCCAUGUACUGGGUAACAAACAGAAGGAGAUUGCAAGGGGAACCUUACAGUUAGCAGGUUAAUGCAACUUGAUGUUUAGGCUGUUCCAUAGCCAGCUCACUGCCACCCCUCUCACAAGAAGCCUGUGGCCAUCCCUUGUCAUGACCAGGAGUGCACCCACCCCGUGCCAAAAAGGAACCAUCUCUGUCACCUUACAGGUUCAUCUGUUCAUAGUUGUUAACUGCAGCUGAAAUGUAGAGAAGACUAAGGAGUGAAAAGCUUGCCGUAAUAAAUGAAGAACUCAGUAGCCUAAUUUGGUUCCC